AUUGAACGCUGGCGGCAUGCCUUACACAUGCAAGUCGAACGGCAGCAUAGGAGCUUGCUCCUGAUGGCGAGUGGCGAACGGGUGAGUAAUAUAUCGGAACGUGCCCUAGAGUGGGGGAUAACUAGUCGAAAGACUAGCUAAUACCGCAUACGAUCUACGGAUGAAAGUGGGGGGUCGCAAGACCUCAUGCUCCUGGAGCGGCCGAUAUCUGACUAGCUAGUUGGUGGGGUAAAAGCCUACCAAGGCAACGAGCAGUAGCUGGUCUCAGAGGACGACCAGCCACACUGGGACUGAGACACGGCCCAGACUCCUACGGGAGGCAGCAGUGGGGAAUUUUGGACAAUGGGGGCAACCCUGACCCAGCAAUGCCGCGUGAGUGAAGAAGGCCUUCGGGUUGUAAAGCUCUUUUGUCAGGGAAGAAACGGUAGUAGCGAAUAACUAUUACUAAUGACGGUACCUGAAGAAUAAGCACCGGCUAACUACGUGCCAGCAGCCGCGGUAA
rnacentral:rRNA from 1 species